AUUGAACGCUGGCGGCAGGCUUAACACAUGCAAGUCGAGCGGGGGAAGGUAGCUUGCUACCGGACCUAGCGGCGGACGGGUGAGUAAUGCUUAGGAAUCUGCCUAUUAGUGGGGGACAACAUCUCGAAAGGGAUGCUAAUACCGCAUACGUCCUACGGGAGAAAGCAGGGGAUCUUCGGACCUUGCGCUAAUAGAUGAGCCUAAGUCGGAUUAGCUAGUUGGUGGGGUAAAGGCCUACCAAGGCGACGAUCCGUAGCGGGUCUGAGAGGAUGAUCCGCCACACUGGGACUGAGACACGGCCCAGACUCCUACGGGAGGUAGCAGUGGGGAAUAUUGGACAAUGGGGGGAACCCUGAUCCAGCCAUGCCGCGUGUGUGAAGAAGGCCUUAUGGUUGUAAAGCACUUUAAGCGAGGAGGAGGCUACUUUAGUUAAUACCUAGAGAUAGUGGACGUUACUCGCAGAAUAAGCACCGGCUAACUCUGUGCCAGCCGCCGCGGUAA
rnacentral:rRNA from 1 species